UACAGAGGGUGCAAGCGUUGUUCGGAAUUAUUGGGCGUAAAGCGCGUGUAGGCGGCUUUGCAAGUCGGGUGUGAAAGCCCUCAGCUUAACUGAGGAAGUGCGCCCGAAACUGCCGAGCUUGAAUACCGGAGAGGGUGGCGGAAUUCCCCAAGUAGAGGUGAAAUUCGUAGAUAUGGGGAGGAACACCGGUGGCGAAGGCGGCCACCUGGACGGCUAUUGACGCUGAGACGCGAAAGCGUGGGGAGCAAACAGG
rnacentral:rRNA from 1 species